rnacentral:rRNA from 1 species
UACGGAGAGUGCGAGCGUUAAUCGGAAUCACUGGGCGUAAAGCGCGCGUAGGCGGCUUUUCAAGUCAGGGGUGAAAUCCCACGGCCCAACCGUGGAACUGCCUUUGAAACUGUAGAGCUUGAGUGUCGGAGAGGGUGGCGGAAUUCCAGGUGUAGGAGUGAAAUCCGUAGAUAUCUGGAGGAACACCGGUGGCGAAGGCGGCCACCUGGACGACAACUGACGCUGAGGUGCGAAAGCGUGGGUAGCAAACAGG